rnacentral:lncRNA from 1 species
AGGUAAUCCCUGAGCCACCUCCCACCAGAUUUGCUCCAGGCCCCUCUCAGAGGGGGAUGUUCCGUAGCUCUACAGGGAGAUCCAUGUGGCCCACGUAGCCCUCUGAGAGUCUGCGGGGAAAUCACAGACAGAUCUGCAGAGAGAAGAGAGAGAGGCAGAGACAGCUGGGGGUUCGCCUCCAGGGAGCAGGCACCCCCCACCAAGGACUGAGAUGGAGCAAAGUAGCAGAGAACAGCGGUCCUCCUCUCCCCAGCGCCUGGGUAGCUGCAUGGUGGCCCCAGGCGUGAUCCAGGGCCACCUCUCUCUUAAACAUGAGGAAGCUGAAGGUCGAAGAGGGGACAGGAGUUGCUCUAGGUUACAUGGCACUGGAGUGGCUCUCUUCUUCAGUGUUCUGGGGGUGAUGGGAAAAGGCAGCUCUGCCCUUUCAGAAGCAAGGGGGCCUCGAGCUGGACGUCACAGCUUCCCCUACCUGCACCCUGUUGUCCCCUUCCCGAGGCCGUCAGGGGCUUGAGUUGCAUCUGCAGCAUGCCUGGACCCUCCGUUCCCCCAUUCAUAAAACCAAGGGCAAGAGCCCCUGCUUUCCUUCCUUGCAGGGCUGUGGUGAGGAGUCGCUGGAAAUAAGGCACGAGGAAGAGCUUUCCAAGCCAGGGUGUCAUUGCGUUUGCGACGAGGCCAGGUCAGUGAGGGCUGCAGGAAUAACGGCAGGAUUAAUGCCGACGCCGUGGGAAGGACGGGGCCGCACCCUGCCUGUCCUCUUCUCUCGCUCGCCUGCCCCGCGAGGAAGCAGUGUUUCCAGAUUGACUUAAGUAAGAAAUGUGCCGCAGCAGCCAUUCCUCGCUCAGCCUUCGCUUGCCCAAGGCAGAGCGAUUUUAAUUUUCGAGCCGUAAUGAGAAAAAGAAACUCAGAAUUAAAGAAUAUUCCUGUGAAGCCGUCAAAAGAGCUGCCCAGACUCUGAAUCGAGGGGAGAAAUGGAAAUUAAUCUCUCCCUUUCCCUCCCUGGCACCAAUUGGACCCGAAGAAGCUGGGCUGGGCGAGGGCAUAGCUGGUGAAAAUCCGGGCAAGCCCAGCCCUGAGGUGGAAUGAGCAGGCAGCCCCCGGCCCACGCCAGGGUGCUGGCAGGACCACAGGACCGAGAGCUUCCACCCACUCACCUCUGGGCUCUUGUGGCGCACGGUGGCUCUAGGCGAUAUUGUCUAACCUGGAUAAGCUUCACUUUGCUCCCUUGGGCACUGGGGAUGCCAACACUUACCUUCUGGAUUGUUGUGAAGAUUGAGUGAGACAUUCCCGCAGAAUUGCCUGGCACAGUGCCUGGCACGUGGCAAACACUCACUAAAGGCCGUUAGUAUUAUUUUAAGUAUCUUAAUGAGACUGCUGGCAUUUAUUAGCCUUUACUGGGUGCUCACUCGGAGCCAGCCAGGGUGCUAUGGAUACAGCAAUGACUCAACGGUGGCUCUGUCCUUAAGGAGCCCACAGUCUCUGAGGGGGUGGUAGAUAUGGAAACAACCACUGAAAAAGUGUCAUCACUGCCAUCGCCACCCCAAGAACCAUCAUCUGAGCCCUGACGAUGCACCAGGCACGGCAUCGAUUCCUCCCUAACCCUGCAGAGGCUCCAUGACCUCCACUUUAUAGGAGAGCGAUGAGCUCUGCUUGAGAUGGAAUCACGGGAGCUUCAGAGAAAAGGCGAUCUUUUUUUCUGACUGUGCCCUUGCCAUCUGGAAGUUCCUGGGCCAGGGAUCGAACCCAUGCCGCAAUAGCGACCCAAGCUGCUCCAGUGACGCCACUAGAUCCUUAACCUGCUGUGCCGCAGGAGAACUCCCUAAAAGGUGAAAUCUUUGAUUGGGAUUUUGAAGAGUGAGUAGGAGUUUUCCAGGAGUCAAGACGGAGAAGGAAUAAAAUGGGACCCCCUUCCGUGGGUCCUGGAGGGCGGGAGCUGCAAGCAGCCUCAGCAGGUGUUCCCCAGGCCUCGAGGUCUUUGCGUUCCACCUUGACAGCCACUGCUGUGCCACUCAAGAUCAUAUUAUAACCUAGAUGAAGUGCGAGUAUUUUAUUUCAUUUUAUUUUUUUGGUCUUUUUAGGGCUGCACUCAUGACAUAUGGAGGUUCCCAGGCUAGGGGUUGAAUUGGAGCUGGAGCUGCCGGCCUAUGUCACAGCCACAGCAAUGUGGGAUCCAAGCCACAUCUGCAACCUACACUCACAGGAACGCCAGAUCCUUAAACCACUGAGCGAGGCCAGGGCUCGAACCUGUGUCCUCAUGGAUGCUAGUCACCUUCGUUAACUGCCGAGCCACGAUGGCAACUCCUGCAGCGAGAUCAUUUUAGAGAGAAUAUAAUCAACAGACCUGUACCUCCAGAGGAUGCCAGCCAAGGUGCGAACUGAGAGCAUUGCCAGGAGGUGGAGCCCCUCUCCCCAUACCCACUGACCCAGUCAAGGGCCCUCGUCAGGGGUGUGGGAUGGGAUCCCCGGGGGAGGCUGGGAGGCACCGACGGGCUAGAGUCGGGGAGAUGGUCUCCAUGACCUUGGGAUUUGAAGGAGAUAAAUGAAACCUCCUCCUUGGUGACAGUCCUUCCCUGCACUCUGCCUGUUCGCCCCCCUCACACCUGCCACAGCCGCAGAGGAGGCCUCCAUGUCGGUGCACCCUGGCGGGCUGAGCCAGGAUGUGGCGUUAGGAUCCAUCUGGCUGGUUCCCCGCCCGGGAAGAUCUGGCCUCAUCGUUAUUCACAUUCUGUUUCCCUACUCGGAGCAGGGAGAAGCAGGCGUCCUGCACUGGGGACAGCAGCAAAGGGGGGUCUCUUUCAGCAAGGCAGUCUUCAGAGCUCAGACCACGUCUCAGGGUCACCCACCCUCAGCAGCACCUCGAGGGGCUUCCGAGGCAGUACGGGGGGGAUUUGAGGCAGACCUUGGGGGGGGGCACUGUCCGACCACAAGGUGGCGAGGCUGUGGUGCACUUGACCGGAUGGCAGGUGUUCUCCGAACGUGUCUUUGGCGGAAGGGGAUGGACAAAGCGUAGCCCUGAGGCUGACCUCGCCUCCUGCUUUCCUUGGAGCCGCCCACAGGCCUAGUUCAUUCCUCACUUUAAGACGUGGCCCUGGGAGGGAGUGGUCCCCACAAGAAACAGGAAGCACGUGCACAUCCCAGUAAAACCCUCAAAGAGGCAAUUAUUUCGGGGCUGCGUAUCCCAGCCCGGAGUACGAGCAGCCAGAUUUCCAGAGCUGCUGUCAUUGCCUCUGGCUGUUGGCAAAAUUAAACUUCUUGAGAAAUGAGAAUGUGCUGGCCCCCAGCUUUCAAGGGGGUGGAAACAUUGGCCUGCCUGGAGCCUUCCGUGAGAGGCUGGAGGGAGCGGGAGAGGGGUGUGGGGAUAUGGGACAUGAUGGAGGAAGCAAAAUAGCUUCCAAGGCCCCCAGCAGGCAGCACGGGCCCCGUACCGUGUUCACAACGUGCACAGACCUGUACCAGGUCUGCAUACCGCCCACGGGAGUGUGAGCUGGGUGAGGGCAGGGGCCUUGGCACUCUUGACACCUCUGUGUCCCCUGUGCCUGGGGCGGUGCCUGGCUCGUCGUAGAUACCCAGUAAAUAGAUACCGAUUCCUCAAUGCGUGUGCACACCUGGGCACAAGGCCAGAGCUUGUGAUAAACCUGUGAGAGUCCUCCCGAGCCUCUCAACCAACACGGGUCACACGCGGGCACUUUUGAAGAACACGAAAGUGCCCUGUCUUCCCACCCUUUGUGCAUGGGACGAUGCUGCAAGAUACGAAGUACAUUCGCCAUGGUGAGAAACGGCCUCCUUGACACACGAAGGGCUGGGCGGUGGCCUGGUCGGGCGCCCCCGCAAGAGGCGAUCCUCCCUGAAGCCUCAGACCACAGCCCGCUCUUCCGCCAACUGCCCGCCCAGACCGACUUCCAGCCCCUCUUCGGACACGCACAGCUCCCCCCAUCACGUCCUCAGCCCCCCGCAGCCUCACCUUGGGUCCCUCUUACUCUGUUGGGACAUCUCUUAGGCCCCACUUCAAAUUCCCUCAGCCUCGUCUCUUCCUCCAGCCACUGCUGUGACAGACAGCAUCCUGCUGGCUGUGGCAAUUCACGGGUGGGACCUGACAAACCUCGCCCUCAGGCCCCUGACCUUGCCCUCUGGCUUCCUGCCCCAGGGCUUCUUUGUGACCAGGGCACUGCAUGGCUUUCCUGAAAGCCAAGUACAGGAUAGAUGAUACCAAGGGGGCAACUCUGGGCAGUGGGGUGGGAACCACUGGACAAGGGUUUCCCUUUUCUCGCCCCAGGAGAUGGUUCUGAGACGCUUCCAGGAUCUUUUCCCAAUGCUCCCCAGCUGCCUGACGCUGUGACUGACCCAGUAACACAGCCGUACCUUCUCGGCGGGCUCUCCUUGGUCCCCGUCCUCUGCCCCUCGCCCUUUUGGCCUGGAUCACAGCCUUUGUCCCAUGGUUGGCUUUCCGGGGAACUUGGACAAAACCCUUGCCCUUUGCCAUUUGUCCUUUGUCCUUUGCUGCCUCUGCCCUAGCCACACGGGUUUUCUUUCAGCUCGUCAACUCUUGCCCACCCCAGGACGGCCAAACAAGCUUUCUCCAGGACCUGGAGUAUUUGUCUGUCUGCUAGGAAAGCCCCUUGGCUGCGCCCCGAAAGACCAGAAGGAGGCAGCCGUGGGAAGGGAGAUCCAGGCAGAAGGGACAGGCAAGGAGUCCCGUCGUGGCACAGUGCCAACCAACCCGACUAGUAUCCCUGAGGACACGGGUUCAGUCCCUGGACUCAGUGGGUUAAGAAUCAGGCGAGCUGCGAGCUCUGGUGUAGGUCACAGAUGCAACUUGGAUCCCCCAUGGCUGUGGCUGUGGCGUAGUGGCCGGCAGCUACAGCUCCCAUUUGACCUUUAGCCUGGGAACCUCCAUGUGCCUUGGGUGUGGCUCUAAAAA